AAUGAGUUAAGUCCAUUAAGUUUGAGAGUUAGGCCCAUUAAGGGGACUUAAUAUAAAAACCUUGUCUUAGAGGAAAUUUCCUCACACUUUCAUUUUCAUAAGAUAUUUUUGAGAGAGUUAGAGAGAGAAAGUGGGAGCAAGAGGAAGAAAGGGUUAGAGAGAAGAGGAACUUGAAGAAUCAAGGGGUGAAGAGAGCUAGGAGCAAAAUUGAAGCCUAAGCUAAGGAGAUUAAUCUAACUAAGGUAAGGGAGUUAGAAUUCAUCAUAAUCAUUAUUGCAAUUUUUCAAUUAUUUGUAUGAAAAGGGCUUAAUUGGGUGAAUUGAUUAAUUGUUCAUAAAUGAUGAAAUUCGUGCUCUAAUUAUGAUGACAUGUUUGGAUGUAUGAAGUUAUGGAUAAUUGAAUUGUUGUUAGUUGAAUUACAUGUAUGCUCAAUUGGUGAAUUAUGCUUUGUUGUUGUUGAAUUGUGAUAAGUUUCAUGAUCAAUUGAUGUUGUUGUUGAUACGUCAUGUUGUUGAUGAUAAUUCAUGGCUUGGGUUUGCAUGAUUCAUGAUUUGUGUUGAGAAAUGAGAUGUUGUUGGUGUUUUGGUGAAAAUUGGUGAAUUGGUCCUAAUGUCAGUUGUUUUCAUGUUGAUUGAGUCUUUGUGAGUCUUUUUAGUCAUAUUGACCUAUAAACAUCAUCUGGAAACACAUUUGGACAAUGAGGGAUCAAAAUUUGGGAUUUUGGGUGGAAAAGGGGUUGAAACCCGUAACAUUUUAUGCUGAACUGUGAACGUUCGCUUAGAGGUUCGCUUAAGCGACAUGUAAGCGAACAUUCAUACAUUUUUUUUCUGGGUUCAGGUCGCUUAAGCGACCUGCGAGCGAGCUGGUAAGCGAACUUUCUGGUAGCUACUGGAAAUCGUUCGCUUAAGCGAACAUGUGGUCGCUUAAGGGAACUGGUGAGCGACCAGAAAGCGUACAUUGUUGUUGGCUACUGGAACUCUGGUUCGCUUAACCAGGUGGUCGCUUAAGCGAACAAGCCCAAUUUCAGCCACUUUAAUCUUUUGUUCCGGGUCUUUGGGGGCCAAUCCGAGCUUUGUAAAAUGAUUCUUUCAACAUGUUUAACUACUGUUUAAUCCCCUAAACCUACUGGAACAAUGAUCAGCUUGCCUAAACUUGAAAUUGUUCAUUGAGUCUUAACUUGGAAGUUUUUGGGAAUUCUAGACUUUUUGUCGAAAACAAACUUUUGCAAAUAAUGGAACUUACAAGUUGAACCUACAGCUCAUAUAUACUUAGGUAAGACUUGUAAGAGUAGUCAAACAUCUUAAUCAAGUCAAAAGUGAUAUUUCGGGUGAGAAUGUGAAAGAUUGUGAAAUUGGAUUUUUCGUACGAACUUAAGUCGUUCUUGGAUUAAUGUCUAAUGAUCCGGAGGCCGCUUAAGCUCAUGACUGCAUGAAUGAUUAAGGUUGUUUGAGAAUCUUCAACUUGUCUAGGUUGUUUUGUCUUGGGAUUUAUCAGUGUUGGCCGUUUGCCACUUGAUAUGGUUUUGGAUCGGAAAUGUUUCUUGAGCCAAUUUACUUAUGAGUUAUUGUGAUCAUUCUUGUAUGACUAAGUGAAGUUGUAUAAAUGAAUGCUUGUAUUUUGGAUAUGAUGUUUAUCAUGAGUUGUGUAUGCUAUCUUACUUAGAAUGUAAGGAAUGUUUGAAAUGGUGAAACCAUAUGAGAUAAAUGAUGUUGGGUGACAUUGUUGAUUAUUGAUAAUCAUGUUGAUGUGUGAUGAUGAAUUCUAUGAUUGGUUGCGUAUGGACAUGUUUUCUUGAUAAUGCAAAUGUUGUGGAGAUGAUCAAUAUAAUUGGGAGUUGUCCUAUAUAUUGUGGUGAAAAUUGUGAAUUGUUGUCGCAUUAUCGAGUCUUGUUGCAUGUCCAUGCAUCAUAGUCGAGUUGAGAUUUGAUAAGAUGUUUUUGUUGCAUCUUUGGGCUCCGGCCUAGCAGAGAUCAUUUAGUGAUCUAGUUUGGUGGACUUCGGUCUUGCAGAGAUCCUUAGUGAUCUAGAUUUGUGGGCUCCGGCCUUGCAGAGACCUUUGACGGUCUAGAUAUAGGUGACGACCUUGAAGUGAAAUGGUACCACAUGCAUAUAUGUGUCGGACUAGGUGCACAUCACGACAUGAGUCUUGUUUUGAAUUGUGAUUGGUGAUUGUGUAUGAAUAACUGUGAUUUGGUGAUUGUUCAUGACACAUGCGAUUGGUGAUUAAUUGAUGUGAGAAAUUGGGAUUAUGAUGUAAGUAUUUAUAUGUGAAUAUUAUUGAUCAAGUACAUGAUGUUUAUAUUGAAUUAUUCAUGUUAACUGUUCUUUGGAUUAUGAUGAUGUAAUACUUACCCCAGUGGUUUUAACCGCCUACCUGUCUGUAUGGAUGGGUAGACGUUGUGCAAGAUUAGUUGCUCGGUGAGUUUUUGUGCUUGGUGGAUAUCGGGAGCUUUCUCCGGUAUCGGUGUUACAGAGUCUAGGUGGCUCUGAUCUAGGCGUUGUCAUAGUCUAGGUCUUUUGUUUUGGAUUAUUGUUAUGAGUGGAGAUUUACUCGUAUGUUCGAAUUUGAGAUUCAUCUGUGUUGAUGUAAUAAUUGAUUCAUGACAUGUAUAUUUGGUGUACUCUUCUGGUUUAUAUUCCGCUGCGACUGUUGAAGUUUAUAUGCAUGUUUAUGGUUUUGAAUUUUUGUAUGAUGACGUAGCCUCUAUUUCUUGAAUAAUUGUAUUAUU
rnacentral:lncRNA from 1 species